UUUUCUCCCUUUUCUCCCUUUUCUCCCUCUUUUCCCUCUUUCUCUUUUUCCUUAACUGCCUUUUCUUUAGGAAGAAGUGGAGGAACCCCUGAGGGGGAAGUUGAAGGAGAGGAAGGGCAA
rnacentral:ribozyme from 13 species